CAACAGGGAUUGCCCCAGUAACGGCGAGUGAAGCGGCAACAGCUCAAAUUUGAAAUCUGGCCCCCCCCGCGGGGCCCGAGUUGUAAUUUGCAGAGGAUGCUUUUGGCGCGGCGCCUUCCGAGUUCCCUGGAACGGGACGCCAUAGAGGGUGAGAGCCCCGUCUGGUCGGACGCCCAGCCUCUGUAAAGCUCCUUCGACGAGUCGAGUAGUUUGGGAAUGCUGCUCUAAAUGGGAGGUAUAUGUCUUCUAAAGCUAAAUACUGGCCAGAGACCGAUAGCGCACAAGUAGAGUGAUCGAAAGAUGAAAAGCACUUUGAAAAGAGGGUUAAACAGUACGUGAAAUUGUUGAAAGGGAAGCGCUUGUGACCAGACAUGGGCGCGGCGAAUCAUCCGGCGUUCUCGCCGGUGCACUUCGCCGCGCCCGGGCCAGCAUCAGUUCGCGGCGGGGGACAAAGGCGCCGGGAACGUGGCUCCCCCGGGAGUGUUAUAGCCCGGCGCGCAAUGCCCCGCGGCGGACUGAGGUUCGCGCAUCCGCAAGGAUGCUGGCGUAAUGGUCACCAGUGACCCGUCUUGAAACACGGACCAAGGAGUCGUCCUCGUAUGCGAGUGUUCGGGUGUCAAACCCCUACGCGCAAUGAAAGUGAACGCAGGUGAGAGCCUCACGGCGCAUCAUCGACCGAUCCUGAUGUUCUCGGAUGGAUUUGAGUAAGAGCAUACGGGGCCGGACCCGAAAGAAGGUGAACUAUGCCUGUGUAGGGUGAAGCCAGAGGAAACUCUGGUGGAGGCUCGCAGCGGUUCUGACGUGCAAAUCGAUCGUCAAACAUGGGCAUGGGGGCGAAAGACUAAUCGACU
rnacentral:rRNA from 1 species